rnacentral:rRNA from 1 species
GUCAAAAACCAACUAAACAAGCCUGAUUCCGUCUGAUCUCGGAAGCUAAGCAGGGUCAGACCUAGUUAGUACUUGGAUAGGAGACCACCUAGGAAGACCAGGUGCUGUAGGCA